rnacentral:rRNA from 1 species
CCUACGUGCGGCAGCAGUGGGGGAUAUUGCACAAUGGGGGAAACCCUGAUGCAGCGACGCCGCGUGAGUGAAGCAGUAUUUCGGUAUGUAAAGCUCUAUCAGCAGGGAAGAAAAUAACAAUACCUGCUCAAGAAGCACCGGGUAACUACGUGCCAGCAGCCGCGGUAAUACGUAGGGGGCAAGCGUUAUAAGGCUUUAUUGGGUGUAAAGGGAGCGUAGACGGUAAUGUAAGUCUGGAGUGAAUGGCCGGGGCCCAACCCCGGGACUGCUUUGGAAACUGUGUAACUGGAGUACAGGAGGGGCAGGCGGAAUUCCUGGUGUAGCGGUGAAAUGCGUAGAUAUCAGGAGGAACACCAGCGGCGAAGGCGGCCUACUGGACUGAAACUGACGUGGAGGCUCGAAAGCGUGGGGAGCAAACAGGAUUAGAUACCCCUGUAGUC